rnacentral:rRNA from 1 species
AUUUAAAAUGUAUUUAUAAAUACUAAAGUAGUAUUAGUUAUGUUCUUGAAACUUAAAAAAUUUGGCGGUAUUUUAGUCUAUUCAGAGGAACCUGUUCUAUAAUCGAUAAUCCACGAUGGACCUUACUUAAAUUUGUUAAUCAGUUUAUAUACCGUCGUUAUUAGAAUAUUUUAUAAGAAUAAUAAUUUUCAUAAAAUUUAAUUAAAACAUAUAUCAGAUCAAGGUGUAGCUUAUGUUUAAGUAGAAAUGGGUUACAAUAAAAUUAUUUAUACGGAAGUAAAUAUGAAAAAUUUACUGAAGGUGGAUUUGAUAGUAAAAUUAUAAAGAUAAAUAAUUUGAUUUUAGCUCUAAAAUAUGC